GCCACAUGCAGCACUACUGGCCUCCCCCAGCUGCGUGUCAGAUGUGAAAAGAAGCACUUCCUCAGACGCUGUGCCAGUUGACUGGUAUAUCUACCCAUGAGGCUUUCCUGGUCAAGUAUCAACUGACCUUCACGGGCUGUUGCAGUCCAGAGCUUCCGUCAGGAGAAGUAACUACAACAAAGCUCCCAGGAAGGCCUUGGAGCUGUGGGCAUGCCGUGCAGACAUGUGCAAGCUCUGCUGUGCUGUGCGCAGGCCCAGCACGUCUCAGCACAAGCUCACCACAGCCACAGUGAGCUGCGAAGGCCGCUCCUCCCACUCACUCACCAGCAGCAUCUUCACUGGCAGCAGGUAGAUCAGAAUCAUCCUCUUGUUCUUCUGGCUGGAGCGAUGGCAGUGCUCAAAGGCAAACGACAGGUACUCCUCAGCUGCAGAGAGCGGACCCCUCCCAUGAGAUCCGAGCGCACAGCCCGCAUCUUACCCUCUGACUGUUCCACCACCAUGGCCUUUGUGCAAAAGGCAGCUUUCCCUCCGGAAACUCUGGCAGCAACCCUGCCUCAUUUUCAUACGGUGACUUUUCUUAUGUAAAAUCCACAGCCCCAAAUUCAACAAGAAUUUGCCUGGGUGUCCUUGGCUUGCCAUGGUGGUCAGAGGUGGCAUAGUUAACAGGAAACUAUGUAUAUUAAUUCCUGUUGAGAUUCUAAUUUGCUACUGUCACCUGCACAUCAGCAGAUUACUGUUAAAUCUGGGAAACACAAAUGCAACAUCUGUAAAACACUGCCAGGACUCAGGUGAGAAAACCGGCUGUGGGCAGCACACAGUGUCACUUAAAACCACCGCGCUUAACCAUGAUCUUAGCAACCUGUAAUCUAAGCCUGUCCUGCCCACACCUAAUAGAUUUAAGAAUACAGAAAAUAAAUAUUCAGUUGGCCAAAGGCCAUGCCCUCAGGCAGACUGUGCAGUAACAGCCAGCAUGGAUCUCAGAGGUUACCCCACUACUGAGACCUGUUCAGCUGAGAGCAGAAAGCCUUUCCUCAGGGGCAAAGCCUCAAGGUCAGAGGAGAGCGGUGUUGGGGGUCAGACCUGUACCUGCUGUGGAGGUCUCUCCUGGACUGUUAGGCCACAACUAUGUUGGGAAGCACAGGUGCCCUCACACAGACUAGAGUCUGGCGUUGAGGAAGUCUGCACUGAGAGCCACCUCUGAUCCCAAAUAGUGUGGCUCUGCCAAAGUGAAGCUCUCACCUCACACCUGGAGGUAACCACCACUGGGGCAGGCCUGUGUCACCCACCCCAAACUGUCUCAUAGGAAGCCCGCAGAGGUGCGGCUGUCAGGGAAGACAACAGCUGGUGCAUCACUCCAGUCAGCACAUUCCUACUGUGGCCUUUAGGGGACACUGUGGUGGGGAGCCCAAACCCAAGAAAACAUACAUGGGCAGCAACAUUGACCUGU